AUCGCUUCUCAGCCUUUUGGCUAAGAUCAAGUGUAAAAAUGUUAGGAUAAACAUCUUUAAAGUUGGGCCCGAACCAACUGAACUCAUUCUUUCUACCUUUGUACCUUCAUUUUAAAGGUAUAACUGUAUUAGACACAAGCCCAUAUACAUACAUUGUGUGUAUAUACAUAUAUAU
rnacentral:snRNA from 1 species